rnacentral:rRNA from 1 species
GGGGAAUCUUGCACAAUGGGCGAAAGCCUGAUGCAGCGACGCCGCGUGGAGGAUGAAGGCCUUCGGGUCGUAAACUCCUGUCUGGGGGGAUGAACACUGACAGUACCCCCGGAGGAAGCCCCGGCUAACUACGUGCCAGCAGCCGCGGUAAUACGUAGGGGGCGAGCGUUGUCCGGAAUUACUGGGCGUAAAGCGCGCGCAGGCGGCCUAUUAAGUCAGGUGUUAAAAUGCGGAGCUUAACUCCGUAUCGCACUUGAAACUGGUAGGCUUGAGUGCAGGAGAGGGAAGUGGAAUUCCCAGUGUAGCGGUGAAAUGCGUAGAUAUUGGGAGGAACACCAGUGGCGAAGGCGACUUCCUGGACUGUAACUGACGCUCAGGCGCGAAAGCUAGGGGAGCAAAC